CAUAGGGACCCCAUAGAGCCCCAUAAGGACCAAUAGGGACCCAUAGUGGUGACCUAAGCCCCGCCCCCCUACUUCCGGAAGUGCUGCAUUUUCCCCACCCUCUUCUCCCCGGAAGUGCUGACCUUAACCCCGCCCCCCUGCUUCCGGAAAUUCUGCUUUUAUCCCCUCCCCCUUCAUCCCGGAAGUGCUGACCUAAACCCCGCCUUCCAACUUCCGGAAUUGCUGCAUUUUCCCCUCCCCCUCCCUCCCGGAAGUGCAGCCAUUAGCCCCUCCUCCUCCAUCCCGGAAGUGCUGACCUUAGCUCUACCCCUAACUUCCGGACGUGCUGCUUUUAGCCCCUCCCACUCCAUCCCGGAAGUGCUGACCUAAACCCCGCCCCCAACUUCCGGAAUUCCUGCAUUUUCCCCUCCCCCUCCCUCCCGGAAGUGCACCCCAUUAGCCCCUCCCCCUCCAUCCCGGAAGUGCUGACCUUAGUCCCGCCCCCCAGCUUCCGGAAGUGCUGCUCUCAGCCCCGCCCACCGUCCCCGCCCUGCUGCAGCGGAUCCUUCACCGAUUGGCUGCUCGCCACGGCCCCGCCCUCGAGUUCUCAUUGGCCGCCCUCAGCGCCGCCCCUUACGGAUUGGAGGAGGCGCAGCUGCUGCGGCUGCUGGGGGCGGAGCUUCGGCUGAGGGGCGGAGCCAAGGUCACGUGGGAGGAAACCCUGCGGGCGCUCAGCCCAGCCAAGAUGGCUGCCGAGAUGUGGGGGCUGCUCAGGGACCUGCGCUGGCUGCUGGAAGCAUGCGGCGCCCCAUUGGACGCUCCCGGUUCCCGCCUUUACCUUGCCGGCUCCCGAUUGGCUGAAGCCGUUCGGACCUUCUUGGGGGCGGGGCUAAAGGGACGCCCCACCCGUGGUGGCCACGCCCCUUCCGGCGGACGUGACGUCAUGGCGACGGCGAGGAUGCUAUUGGCUGGCCUGACUCUGCGCGCCGCCGACCCAUUGGCUGACGGCCACUUCCGGGGGGCGGAGCUCGAACACCUGGCUUUGUUACCGCGCCUUCUGGUUGGUCUACGCCUCCGGGGGGGGACUGGG